rnacentral:rRNA from 1 species
ACUCCUACGGGAGGCAGCAGUGGGGAAUUUUGCGCAAUGGGGGAAACCCUGACGCAGCAACGCCGCGUGGAGGAUGAAGUCCUUUGGGACGUAAACUCCUUUCGACCGGGACGAUUAUGACGGUACCGGUGGAAGAAGCCCCGGCUAACUUCGUGCCAGCAGCCGCGGUAAU